UUGUUUGUCAGAGGCUCUGAAAUUCUGUGAUAAAGCCAUCGUGGAUGAAGAUUCUAGUGGGGAGACCUAACAUCAAACAACUGUUUUGGAGUUUAGUGGAGGUUCGUUGACUGACUCCAUCCAUCUUUUAUUUGAUCUCUCAGGUUGACCGCCACGACAGUUUGGGUUUGGUAGGAAAAACUUCCCCACUGUUGUUUCUGAUGACAUCACGUGCAUGCCUAAAAAAUUCAUUAUUUAUUAUAUUAAUUUUUUAUGAAAUUUAAGUUUCGGAAAAAUGUGUUCGUAAUUAAUAAAAUUUAAACUUCACCUUUAAGUUAAUUAAGGAUCUCUUAAUUAAAUUUUGAUUAUAAAUUUUAAAUUAAAUUCUAAUUAGAUGCAAUGAUUAUAUUAAUUGAAAAUUUUAGUUAUAAUGACACUAAUUUUAUUAUUAUUAAUUCUAAACAAAAUUUAAGAUCAUCUAAUUAAAAAUUUGAACAACUUCCAUAUAUAGUAAAAAGUUUUGAUAUGAUUAAAACAACAACAAGUGUCAUAAGUGUACAAUAUUUGUAUCACACAUAUAUAUAUAUAUGUAUGAUACAUUGCUUCAUAAUAAGCGGCAUAUGACUAAAACUCUGAUAGAAAUAAAAGUAUUUAACAGUUGAAUAUUUUACAUCGUUAUCAGGGAGUGUGACUGUGAGAGGAGAAUACUUUCUCCACUUGAAGAGCUAGAAAGAGGAAGGCCAGCAACGAAACAGAGAUUCCAGAUACCAUAAUCACCAAC
rnacentral:lncRNA from 1 species